AUGGUAGUUACAGGUCACAUAUACUAAAAUUGGAACGAUACGGAGAAGAUUAGCAUAGCCGCUGCGCAAGGAUGACACGCAAAUUUGAGAAGCGUUCUAUAUUUUA
ensembl:snRNA U6 U6 spliceosomal RNA